CCGCCCAUAGCUCAGCUGGUAGAGCAGCUCCCUUUUAAGGAGAAGGUCCAAGGUUCGAAUCCUUGUGGGCGGA
rnacentral:tRNA from 1 species